CUACGGGACGCAGCAGUCGAGAAUAUUCGACAAUGGGCGAAAGCCUGAUCGAGCGACGCCGCGUGCAGGAUGAAGGUCUUCGGAUUGUAAACUGCUUUUAUUAGGGAAAAACCUUCGGGUGAUCGUACCUAAUGAAUAAGGGGGUACUAACUCUGUGCCAGCAGUAGCGGUAAUACAGAGCCCCCGAGCGUUAUCCGGAUUUAUUGGGCGUAAAGGGUCCGUAGGCGGCAAGGCAAGUCUUAGGUUAAAUACCCAGAGCUUAACUUUGGGGGUGCCCAAGAUACUACCUAGCUAGAGGACGUCAGAGGCUGGCGGAACGCACGGCGUAGGGGUGAAAUCCGUUGAUAUCGUGCGGACCACCAAAAGCGAAGGCAGCCAGCUGGGACGAUCCUGACGCUGAGGGACGAAAGCGUGGGGAGCAAAAAGGAUUAGAUACCCUCGUAGUC
rnacentral:rRNA from 1 species